rnacentral:rRNA from 1 species
AUAUUGGACAUGGGCGAAAGCCUGAUCCAGCCAUGCCGCGUGUGUGAAGAAGGUCUUCGGAUUGUAAAGCACUUUAAGUUGGGAGGAAGGGCAGUAAACUAAUACUCGGUUGUUUUGACGUUACCGACAGAAUAAGCACCGGCUAACUCUGUGCCAGCAGCCGCGGUAAUCA